rnacentral:rRNA from 1 species
GACAGAGGGUGCAAACGUUGUUCGGAAUUACUGGGUGUAAAGCGCGUGUAGGCGGCAUACCAAGUCUGUUGUGAAAUCGCCCGGCUCAACUGGGCGGGGUCAAUGGAAACUGGUAAGCUGGAGGACGGUAGAGGCGAGUGGAAUUCCCGGUGUAGUGGUGAAAUGCGUAGAGAUCGGGAGGAACACCUGUGGCGAAGGCGGCUCGCUGGGCCGAUCCUGACGCUGAGACGCGAAGGCGUGGGGAGCGAACGGG